UACGGAGGGGGCGAGCGUUGUCCGAAGUUACUGGGCGUAAAGCGCGCGUAGGCGGGUUGGUAAGUCCGCUGUGAAAGCCCGGAGCUCAACUCCGGAGGGUCGGUGGAUACUGCCAGUCUUGAAGGUGCUAGGGGGAGAUGGAAUUACCGGUGUAGCGGUGAAAUGCGUAGAUAUCGGUAGGAACACCAGUGGCGAAGGCGGUCUCCUGGGGCAUUCUUGACGCUGAGGCGCGAAAGCGUGGGGAGCAAACAGG
rnacentral:rRNA from 1 species